CAUUGAUCAAGUACGAAAGUUAGAGGUUCGAAGGCGAUCAGAUACCGCCCUAGUUCUAACCAUAAACGAUGCCAGCCAGCGAUCCGUCGAAGUUCCUCCGAUGACUCGACGGGCAGCUUCCGGGAAACUAAAGCAUUUGGGUUCCGGGGGAAGUAUGGUUGCAAAGCUGAAACUUAAAGGAAUUGACGGAAAGGCACCACCAUGGAGUGGAGCCUGCGGCUUAAUUUGACUCAACACGGGAAAACUUACCAGGUCCAGACAUAGGUAGGAUUGACAGAUUGAGAGCUCUUUCUUGAUUUGGUGGGUGGUGGUGCAUGGCCGUUCUUAGUUGGUGGAGCGAUUUGUCUGGUUAAUUCCGAUAACGAACGAGACCUCAGCCUGCUAACUAGUUCGUUCCUGCUUAGGAUCGGGACUUCUUAGAGGGACUUUGGGGGUUACUCCAAGGAAGUUUGAGGCAAUAACAGGUCUGUGAUGCCCUUAGAUGUCCUGGGCCGCACGCGCGCUACACUGAUGCAGGCAGUAAGUUCCAUGUCAGACAUGUCAUGGGAACCUUCAAACUGCAUCGUGAUGGGGAUUGACUCUUGGAAUUCUUGGUCAUAAACGAGGAAUACCUAGUAAACGCAAGUCAUCAGCUUGCAUUGAAUACGUCCCUGCCCUUUGUACACACCGCCCGUCGCACCUACCGAUUGAACGGUCCGAUGAAACCAUGGGAUGUUUCUGUUUGGAUUAAUUUUUGGACAGAGGCAGAACUCGGGUGAAUCUUAUUGUUUAGAGGAAGGUGAAGUCGUAACAAGGUUUCCGUAGGUGAACCUGCGG
rnacentral:rRNA from 1 species